AAAAUAUCAGAUGGCAUUGGGUCUGUGUGGAAUCCACAGGACUUGAGAGAAAGCUGUAGUGCUAGUGGGGCUGUACCAGCUUAUAUCAGGGGAAACUUGCCUACUUGACGCAAGGGGAACACAAGGAAUUUUUGAGAAAAACAAAAAUAUAACAGAACUCUGAGACUCCUUUCCAAUAUUUCAUUUGUCGGCUUUCAAACGUCAUCAUGGGAGCAAUGAGACAAGAAAAGAGUCUUUUCUUCCUUCAAGGUCUGCAGUGAACACUGUAAAGCCAUGCACAAUGGAUUUGGAAGAAGCUUUAUCUAUUAUGACAAUUUUACAGGACUGUUCUGUAAAAGGUUGCACUAAGGAGAUAGGUGCUUUGAAGAAAAUUCUAUCCUCAGGUAACUAUUCCUGUAAAUGCAAUUACUUUUUUUCUUUAUAUCACUCCUAUAUCAUUUGAUGUUAUGAGCUGAUUUAUUUUAUUUUUUGAUAGUCAAGCCUUAUCCUAAAGAAUAGCGCAAAGUAAUCCAGGAGAAGACGAAGACCUCAUAAUCCUUUUUGCACCCACCUGAAUGAAUGCUGAUUAGGAACCUGUGCAGUGAUGUUAUCCUGAUUGGUGGGAAAUUGGUGAAGGAAACAGCCAAUUUUCAAUCAACGUAAUUGGUUGCUCAGGAGGUUUGAAAUCUCAAGAAAAAAGCAUUGCAUCUUCUGCAGCUGUGUUACAAGAUUUUUCUGGAAUAGCAAAUAAAUUGUUGAUAAGAACUGCA
rnacentral:lncRNA from 1 species